CAACUACUCCCUCUGUCCCAAAUUUCUUGUCUUAGAUUGUCUAGAUACGGAUGUAUCUAAUACUAAAAUGUGACUUGAUACAUCCGUAUCUAGACAAAUCUAAGACAAGAAUUUUGGGACGGAGGGAGUACUUU
rnacentral:pre_miRNA from 1 species